CAAGAAUCAAAGAGUCCCUCAAGGAUCCAUAGCACAAUUUCAUACAAUUGCUAAUAAACUUUAGUUAGUUACUGAAGUCACUGGCUGGCAGUGUUAUCUCUGGUGAGAUCCUGAGCAUCUGGUGACCUGGGGGGUGUUUUGAGGCUAACUACAUCAGACUGUGCGGUGCUCAGGUACUACAAUGAUGAUGAGGCCAGAUAAGUACCGCAGAUAGCCUACUCUGCUGGGGUUUGUUUAUAUCUCUUUUGCCUGUCACAUGCAUUUUCUGUCUUGAUCCUUGCUAAACCAAGAUGUUGCUGUUCUCCAGGGAUGCUCAAUGUUUGUCAAUCCAAAAUAUAAGAUGUCUUACAUUUGAUAUGACACUCUGCACCAAAAGAAUUCUUAAGUGCACAUUUCACAUUGCUUUCAAACAGGCACAAUGUUCCCCUGUUUCAGAACAUCUGCCUGUCCUAACACUCCCCAAAUAUUACUUCUGCAGGGGGAUUUACAGGUGGGAUUUAAUCACAGGGUCUCUUUGAAAAUUGUGCUACCAAAGCCCAAGGAACUUUUCUUGUAUAAAUAUACUCAGUAAAUCAAUUAAAUAAA